rfam:Triticum aestivum genome assembly, contig: Triticum_aestivum_CS42_TGACv1_scaffold_526448_6DL
UAUCUACUCCCUCCGUCUCAAAAUUCUUGUCUUAAGUUUGUCUAGAUACGGAUGUAUCUAAUGCUAGAACGUGACUUGAUACAUCGGUAUCUAGACAAAUCUAAGACAAGAAUUUUGGGACGGAGGGAGUAUAUG